GACGAACGCUGGCGGCGUGCUUAACACAUGCAAGUCGAACGGAAAGGCCCCUUUGGGGGUCCUCGAGUGGCGAACGGGUGAGUAACACGUGAGUAACCUGCCCUUGACUUCGGGAUAACUUCAGGAAACUGGGGCUAAUACCGGAUAGGAAUCCUUGCUGCAUGGUGGGGGUUGGAAAGCUUCGGCGGUUUUGGAUGGACUCGCGGCUUAUCAGCUUGUUGGUGGGGUAGUGGCUUACCAAGGCUUUGACGGGUAGCCGGCCUGAGAGGGCGACCGGCCACAUUGGGACUGAGAUACGGCCCAGACUCCUACGGGAGGCAGCAGUGGGGAAUAUUGCACAAUGGGCGGAAGCCUGAUGCAGCAACGCCGCGUGCGGGAGGACGGCCUUCGGGCUGUAAACCGCUUUCAGCAGGGGCGAAGCUUGUGGUGACGGUACCUGCAGAAGAAGCACCGGCUAACUACGUG
rnacentral:rRNA from 1 species